rnacentral:sRNA from 1 species
CGCAGCGAGAAAGCGUUGCCGCAGGCAACGACCCGAAGGGCGAAGCGCGCAGCGCUGAGUAAUCCUUCCCCCAUCACCA